rnacentral:rRNA from 1 species
UACGGGGGGAGCAAGCGUUGUUCGGAUUUACUGGGCGUAAAGGGCGCGUAGGCGGCCAGCACAAGUCAGUUGUGAAAUCUCCGAGCUUAACUCGGAAAGGUCAACUGAUACUGUGCGGCUAGAGUGCGGAAGGGGCAACUGGAAUUCUUGGUGUAGCGGUGAAAUGCGUAGAGAUCAGGAAGGAACACCGGUGGCGAAGGCGCUCUGCUAGGCCGCAACUGACGCUGAGACGCGAAAGCGUGGGGAGCAAACAGG